rnacentral:rRNA from 1 species
GGAGGUUUAGUGCCGUAAAAUCGGGCUGUCAUCAGUUUAAAUAACUGGUGAAGAAAGGGCCGGGCAAGACCGGUGCCAGCCGCCGCGGUAAUACCGGCGGCUCGAGUGGUGGCCACUAUUACUGGGCUUAAAGCGUUCGUAGCUGGUUUGUUAAGUCCCUGGGGAAAUCUUCCGGCUUAACCGGAAGGCGUCUCAGGGGAUACUGGCAGACUAGGGACCGGGAGAGGUGAGGGGUACUCCAGGGGUAGGAGUGAAAUCCUGUAAUCCUUGGGGGACCACCUGUGGCGAAGGCGCCUCACCAGAACGGCUCCGACAGUGAGGGACGAAAGCUGGGGGAGCAAACCGGAUUAGAUACCCGGGUAGUCCCAGCCGUAAACGAUGCGCGUUAGGUGUAUCAGUGACCACGAGUCACUGAGGUGCCGAAGAGAAAUCGUGAAACGUGCCGCCUGGGAAGUACGGUCGCAAGGCUGAAACUUAAAGGAAUUGGCGGGGGAGCACCACAACAGGUGGAGCCUGCGGUUUAAUCGGACUCAACGCCGGGAAACUCACCAGGUAAGACAGCUGAAUGAUAGUCGGGCUGAAGACUCUACUUGACUAGCUGAGAGGAGGUGCAUGGCCGUCGUCAGUUCGUACUGUGAAGCAUCCUGUUAAGUCAGGCAACGAGCGAGACCCACGCCAACAGUUGCUAGCUUGUCCCCCGGGAUGGAGAGGACACUGUUGGGACCGCCUCUGCUAAAGAGGAGGAAGGAAUGGGCAACGGUAGGUCAGCAUGCCCCGAAUUACCUGGGCUACACGCGGGCUACAAUGGGUGGGACAAUGGGUAUCGACACCGAAAGGUGAAGGCAAUCUCCUAAACCCAUCCGUAGUUCGGAUUGUGGUUACAACUCAGGCACAUGAAGCUG